rnacentral:misc_RNA from 1 species
UGAGGAGCCAUAUGCCAACAUGCAUUGUGGUGCUAUCAUAGGUGGAAUUGUAAGCAACACACUUAGGCCUGCUAUACCAGAACGUUGUGAUCCAAAGUGGAGAAAUUUGAUGGAAGAAUGUUGGUCUUUCAACCCUGCAGCCAGGCCAUCAUUUACCGAGAUAACAAACAAGCUGCGAGCUAUGUCAGAGGCACUCCAAACGAAGCGACGUAAUCCCACUAAUAGAUGAAACCUAAUUUCCUAUGUAAGUUGAAAAAGAAACACACUAAUGUAAAUGUAAAGGUUAAGUAGGAAAAUGUUUGUAAAGUUAUAGCUAACGACGUUCUUGAGUAGCUUUAAUGCAAGCCAUGGCCAUAGAGAUAAAAACCUUGUAUAUCAAAAAUAUGAAUAUAAUCCGUAGUUCUUCUGUGCAGCUUUUGGUGCCAGUUUCAAUAUUUU